GACGAACGCUGGCGGCGUGCUUAACACAUGCAAGUCGAACGGAAAGGCCCUGCUUUUGUGGGGUGCUCGAGUGGCGAACGGGUGAGUAACACGUGAGUAACCUGCCCUUGACUUUGGGAUAACUUCAGGAAACUGGGGCUAAUACCGGAUAGGAGCUCCUGCUGCAUGGUGGGGGUUGGAAAGUUUCGGCGGUUGGGGAUGGACUCGCGGCUUAUCAGCUUGUUGGUGGGGUAGUGGCUUACCAAGGCUUUGACGGGUAGCCGGCCUGAGAGGGUGACCGGCCACAUUGGAACUGAGAUACGGCCCAGACUCCUACGGGAGGCAGCAGUGGGGAAUAUUGCACAAUGGGCGGAAGCCUGAUGCAGCAACGCCGCGUGCGGGAUGACGGCCUUCGGGUUGUAAACCGCUUUCGCCUGUGACGAAGCGUGAGUGACGGUAAUGGGUAAAGAAGCACCGGCUAACUACGUG
rnacentral:rRNA from 1 species